rnacentral:rRNA from 1 species
GUACACGCUGUGACUAGCAUAUCAAUAAGCGGAGGAAAAGAAACUAACAAGGAUUCCCCUAGUAACGGCGAGUGAAGCGGGAAGAGCUCAAAUUUGAAAUCUUAAAGGGUUUCCCUUUACGAAUUGUAGUUUAAAGAAGUGUUUUCUGUUGAGGUUUUGGUAAAAGUUCUUUGGAAUAGGACAUCAUAGAGGGUGAGGAUCCCGUAUUUGACCUUUACUUUCAACUUUGUGAUACACUUUCAAAGAGUCGGAUUGUUUGGGAAUGCAGUCCAAAAUGGGUGGUAAAUUUCAUCUAAAGCUAAAUAUUGGCGAGAGACCGAUAGCGAACAAGUACCGUGAGGGAAAGAUGAAAAGAACUUUGAAAAGAGAGUUAAACAGUACGUGAAAUUGUCAAAAGGGAAGCGUUUGACACCAGUGUUGUUUUUCUGAAAAUCAGUUAAAGAACUGUUUAUGCUAAGCUGUUUAGACUUUAUCAGCUAUCUGUUUAGUUUUGAGCUUUUCUUUAAUGCACUUUUCAGUUAACAAGUCAACAUCAAUUUCUUUUGCUGUAAAAAAGCUUGAGGAAGGUGGCUUGAGAUUCGUCUUAAGUGUUUAUAGCCUCUUGCCUAUGCAGUCGGAGAGAUUGAGGUCUGCAGCGUAGAUCCUUCGGGGCUAAGUGCAUUUGUGCUAAGUUAUAGCAUUUCAUAGACAACUUGUUGACUAUGACUUGUCUUGUAGCUUACUCGCUUAUGUUAUUUUACCUACGCUUAGGAUGUUGACGAGACUGUCGAUCUC